rnacentral:sRNA from 1 species
UGAGUUAGCUUGAUCACUUUCGUUUUCGG